rnacentral:lncRNA from 1 species
UUUCACUUGAACUUCCUUGAGAAGUGCUGAUGCAACAUGAGUUGGAGAAUAAGGUGGAGUUGCCUCUUGCAAAGGUACCAUGGUCUCUUGGUCUUCCUCUUUAAAGUAUGGAAAGAAAUCAUAAGUAUUUUUUUCUUUCUUCUCCCAAUUCCAAGUCACUUGUUCAUCAAAUUAAUAUCUUUACUUACCAUGAUCUUGUCAUUGCUUGAAUUAUACAAUUUAUAGCCCUUUGAGUUUGCAUCAUACCUAAUAAAAAUAUGUUUGACACUUCGAUCAUCGAGUUUGG